rnacentral:rRNA from 1 species
GAAGGAACCUUAACAGGGUCUUGACAUUUUCUGACAACCUAAGAGAUUAGGCGUUCCCUUCGGGGACAGAAAUGACAGGUGGUGCAUGGUUGUCGUCAGCUCGUGUCGUGAGAUGUUGGGUUAAGUCCCGCAACGAGCGCAACCCUUAUUAAUAGUUGCCAGCAUUCAGUUGGGCACUCUAGUGAGACUGCCGGUGACAAACCGGAGGAAGGUGGGGACGACGUCAAAUCAUCAUGCCCCUUAUGACCUGGGCUACACACGUGCUACAAUGGAUGGUACAACGAGUCGCGAAACCGCGAGGUUUAGCUAAUCUCUUAAAACCAUUCUCAGUUCGGACUGUAGGCUGCAACUCGCCUACACGAAGUCGGAAUCGCUAGUAAUCGCGGAUCAGCAUGCCGCGGUGAAUACGUUCCCGGGCCUUGUACACACCGCCCGUCACACCAUGAGAGUUUGUAACACCCAAAGCCGGUGGGGUAACCUUUAGGAGCU